ACAUCAAUGGGCUGAGAUUUGGAAACGGAGGAGGAGGGGGUGCGAGUGGAGCAGGAGAAGCCUUGUUAGCCCGGUCUGGUUCAUCGGCUCAGGCAUGAUGUGAUUGCAUCUGCCAUUGACUAUGCGAUUGAUGCGAGAACAUCUAUAUUCUUUGAAGCUAAGAGUGAUCAUCCUACCUCCAGCUGGGCUAAUUAAGGUGUCCGUGCCGACGACUUUGCUGUCUCGAACUAUAUCUGCAGGUUGAUAGAGUUGGAAAAUAUUCCCUCCUAUUGAUAGUGGCAAGGCAACCGU